UACGUAGGCAGCGAGCGUUGUUCGGAGUUACUGGGCGUAAAGGGUGUGUAGGCGGUUGUUUAAGUUUGGUGUGAAAUCUCCCGGCUCAACUGGGAGGGUGCGCCGAAUACUGAAUGACUAGAGUGCGGGAGAGGAAAGUGGAAUUCCUGGUGUAGCGGUGAAAUGCGUAGAUAUCAGGAGGAACACCGAUUGCGAAGGCAGCUCGCUGGAACGUUACUGACGCUGAGACGCGAAAGCGUGGGGAGCAAACAGG
rnacentral:rRNA from 1 species